GACGGAGGGUGCAAGCGUUGCUCGGAAUCACUGGGCGUAAAGGGUGCGUAGGCGGCUUGGUGGGUCUGGUGUGAAAGCCCCGGGCUCAGCCCGGGAAGGGCACUAGAAACUGCCGAGCUGGAGUGCCGGAGGGGAGAGUGGAAUUCCUGGUGUAGCGGUGAAAUGCGUAGAUAUCAGGAGGAAUACCGGUGGCGAAGGCGGGUCUCUGGGCAGUAACUGACGCUGAGGAGCGAAAGCGUGGGGAGCGAACAGG
rnacentral:rRNA from 1 species